GUCCAGUUACUUUCAGGGCAUCAUUUUCAUUUCACUGCUCCCAGAGAAAGAGCAGCAACAAGGAAUUAAUGUUUUAGUAACUUGCUUUUUUCCUGUAGGUUAAAGGACGGUAUGGACGGAGCGUGGCUGACCUGGAAUGAUGAAUUAAUAAGAGACAGGCUGAUGAAACCAGAUUUGAUGAACCGUCGACGAUGCCAUUACGCUUCCCGUGCUGCUGCCUCUCACCUCUCCUGACCAAUCAAAUGCCACGCGAGAAUCAUAAAUCAUACUGAUUGGGACUCUAACUGAUCACUGUGCUGUCCAUUGAUUGUGGUGUCUCUCGAUGUAACAGGGGACAAAGAGCUCUGUCCCUCUGUUGCCCUGGGGAAUGCCAAGAGCUUUGCAAAAAUACAAAUAAAUGCAACUGCACA